CCGAAAGCAGCACCGUGGUACGGUGGAUGGUGGGAGAGACUAGUUGGAAUUACGAAAACGACAUUGAAAAAAGUGCUCGGGAAAUCUCAAGUAAAUUCUGACGUAUUACGAACAACUUUGAUAGAAAUUGAACGUGUAAUCAACGAUCGUCCGAUUACAUAUGUGUCGUCCGACAUCCGAGAUCCAGAGCCGCUAACGCCGUCACAUCUACUACAGGGAAGAAGAUUAUCACAAGAGAACAAUUCUUAUUCAGAGGACAAUAAUUUAAAUUUAGAUUUCACAGAAGCAAACAAACGUUUUAAUCAUAAAGUAACUUUGAUUGAACACUUUGCAAAACGAUGGAGAAUGGAAUACCUCACCGGAUUAAGAGAAUUUCAUCGCGUCGCCGGAGACCAAAGCGCACAUGUGAAAAUCGGUUCCGUCGUACAAAUCAUGGACAAUUCACCGAGAAUGAUGUGGAAACUAGCAGUAAUAGAAGAUUUGAUCACCGGGAAAGAUGGAGCAGUGAGAGCAGUCAAACUUCGUACAUCAAAUGGACUGAUUACAACAAGACCAUUUGUGAAACUGGUGCCAUUGGAAAUAUGAACUUUAAUUGUUUUUUCAAUACCCUUUUUUAUGAACAAUACAUGAACAGUAAUUGCAUUUUGCGGCCCCCAGAAUGUUGUGAAUUAGUUAUAGUUUCAGUUUAGUAUUUUAUACUCUUUUAUUUGCUUAACGUUUUACCGCCAUUUUACGUAACAAUAAGCCCGCAACG
rnacentral:lncRNA from 1 species